GGGAACGCGGGGCCGGCAGGCGCGGUAAUACGUUGGGGGGGAGCGGUAUCCGGAUUUACUGGGUGUGAAGGGAGCGUAGAAGGAGCAGCAAGUCGGAUGGGAAAGGCAGGGGCUCAACCCCUGGACUGCAUUGGAAACUGUUGAUCUUGAGUACCGGAGAGGUAAGCGGAAUUCCUAGUGUAGCGGUGAAAUGCGUAGAUAUUAGGAGGAACACCAGUGGCGAAGGCGGCUUACUGGACGGUAACUGACGUUGAGGCUCGAAAGCGUGGGGAGCAAACAGGAUUAGAUACCCCUGUAGUC
rnacentral:rRNA from 1 species